rnacentral:rRNA from 1 species
UAAGACGAGGGAUCCUAGCGUUGCUCGGAAUCAUUGGGCGUAAAGAGGGCGUAGGUGGCUUGGUAAGUCAGGUGUGAAAGCCCAGGGCUCAACCCUGGAAGUGCAUUUGAUACUGCCGAGCUUGAGUGUUAGAGAGGUUACCGGAAUACCUGGUGUAGUGGUGAAAUACGUAGAUAUCAGGUGGAACACCGGAGGCGAAGGCGGGUAACUGGCUAAACACUGACACUGAGGCCCGAAAGCGUGGGGAUCAAACAGG